GUUUAUAAUUUUGUUUUUGAUGGGCUAGGAAAAGUAAUUUUAGGUUUAAGUUAAUUUGUUGGAAUAAUUUUUUGAACUAUAGUUUAUUGUACAGUGAUGGAUAUUUUAAAAUCUUGUAAAGAAUAUUUUAUUUGUAGUACCUUGUGUAUCAGGGUUAGUUAAAAUUGGUAUUGAAUAAUUAUUUCCCGAAUUAAGAAGAUCUAAGAAUAUAUAAAUUUUAGUGUAAAAUAACUGUUUAUGAUAUAUUCUUAGAAGUGAAAUUUUAAUCGGUUCUUAAUAUAUCUGGUUUUUUAAGAAAUUAAUUUAAUUAAGGCGAACAUGAGAAUUAUGAUUAAUUAUAAUUGGGUUCUUUGUUUAGUUAAUAUUUUUGGGGAUAAGCUUGAAGGUAGAGUUAUUAUAAUUAUUUUUAUUUUUUUAGGUUAAUAGGAUUAGAAGUGUUUAUUUUUAAUAGUAAGUUAUAUUUAUCCUAGGAUUAGACUUAUUUUUUUAUGUUUAAGUUAUUUAUUAAAUUAAGUACAUUAAUUGUUAGUGUAAUGUAAUAAUGAUUAAAUUAGUAUAUAUUUAUGUUGUUAUAAUUGGAUAUGAAAGGUUAGGCUAAGGAACUCGGCAAAUAAUCUUUUUGCCUGUUUAUUAAAAACAUGUCCUUUUGAGUUAAUUUAAGGUCUAACCUGCCCAAUGAGGAGUUUAAUGGCCGCGGUAUUUUGACCGUGCAAAGGUAGCAUAAUCAUUAGUUUUUUAAUUGGAGGCUGGAAUGAAGGGUUGGACAAGAAAGAUACUGUCUACGGUUUAAUUAAUUUAGAAUUUUAUUUUUUAGUAAGAAAGCUUAAAUGGAAAUGAGGGACGAGAAGACCCUAUAGAAUUUUAUAGAUUUUAAUUUAAAGGUUUGUUGGUAGGAGUUUACUUUUAUAUUAUGAUUUAUUUUGUUGGGGUGACGGAAAAAUUUUGUAAACUUUUUUUUUAUUAUAACAUGAGUAUAUGGGUGUUUGAUCCACUAAGUGAUUAUAAGAUUAAAUUACCUUAGGGAUAACAGCGUAAUUAAUUUGGGGAGUUCAUAUCUAUAAAUUAGUUUGCGACCUCGAUGUUGGAUUAAAAUUGGCUUUAGGUGCAGAAACUUAGGGGCUAAGUCUGUUCGACUUAUAAAAUUUUACAUGAUCUGAGUUUAGACCGGCGUGAGCCAGGUCGGUUUCUAUCUUCAUUAAGGGAAAUAUUUUAGUACGAAAGGACCAAAUAUUUACUAGUUUAGUGUGAAAAGAAAAUGAAU
rnacentral:rRNA from 1 species